rnacentral:misc_RNA from 1 species
UAAGAUUCAGUCACAAUUUAGGUACGUUGUGAUUCACCCCAUAGAUUCAAAUUGGUAGGAGGAAGAAUCGAAUCGCAUGACUUUAAUAGAGAAUCAUAAGAUUCUAAUAACAGUGGCAACAGCAUUUGGAGUCUAUCUCUAUUUGCAAAUUUGAUCACUUAGUGAAUAGCCUGAUUUGCAUAUCGUCCAUAUAUUAUGUAUUUGUAUUUGCAGAUGUACAGGAAAUAUUUCCCUUCUAUAGAUUUGGUUAUUUCUUUUUGGUUUUUGGUGGGGGAGAAGGGAUAGAAGGAUUCCCAAACUGAGUA